AAGAAAUGCAGUGAAACAGUUUUUCUGGUGCUGCUUCCAGCUCUCAAACAGGGACUUUCUCUCCUGAAGUGGUCCCCCCACCUCAAUAGUUUGCAGAGAAUAGGAGAUUGUAUGUAAUGGGAUUCAGUCAAAGAAGUUCUCUAGUCCACUCUCGACUAUAUUUAGAAAAAAAAAAGUUCGUCGUCAGCAUAGGUCCUGUCCAUGUCUGUGUCCUCAAUAAAUUAGCAAUUUUCAGAAAACUAUGCCUAUGAGAAUGGGAAGAAAUAGACCAAGAAGCAGGGAGACUUAGAUUGUGCUUACACCACAUAAUUUUGUAAAGUAUGCCUAGACAAGCACAUUCCCACCCACUCACCAUUAAAAAUUAACAAUAAAAAGGAAAAGUGGUAGAAUCUGAGGCACAUUUUGGUUCACUAAUCUAAAUAAUAAGCACCUUAAUCUUUCUCCUUAUCCUUCACUUUCUUUCUUUCUUUUUUUUUUUUUUUUUUUUCCUCUUUACCAUUCCUUUGUUGUUAAGUGGUAGCAAUUGGUGGUAUAGUUUAUCUAAGAUGGUCACACAAUUACUCAACCUGUCUAUUCUCUACAAAGAAAGUGAAAGUAUUGCCUGUUUCUAAACAAAGAAGAGCUAAAUGUCUUUGGUUUGAAUUGGACAAGAUGAUGCCAAUAUUUCCAUCUCCAGACUCUGUCUUUACAGAUUUUAGACUUGAGUUAUCUGUUAGAAGUCAUGAAGCAACACAGCAGGUCUAAGGACUGUGAUUAGGAAAAGGCAUGACCUGGUGGAAGCAACACUGGCCACUCAAUUCACUGAACUUGUACCUAAAUCUUAGCCUAGGCAUUUAUGAGCCAUAUGAUAUGAGACAAUUUUUUAACCUUUCUACGUCUCAAUAGGAGCCAUAGAAUUGAUGUAAGGGUUGGAGAUAAGGUAGGAAAUCAUGUGGCAUAAUAGAUGCUGUAUUAUUCACCUGUAUCAUUAUGUUAGGCAUACCUCUCUUACUUAUAGAUAAAGUAAAAAUCAAAGUUGCUCUAAAGAAAAGCAAUGUAAAACCAAAUCUAAACUGUUGUGGAUACAAGGUAAUAACCAUGGUUAUGUAUCUGAUGCUCAGUUUUGUUUUUAAUAGGAUGACAGAAAACAUUACAUUUGAGUGACUGUAUCUCAAAUGUUAGACAUCAAAGCUAGAUCAGAGUUUCUCUAAGUGUGGAUUGAGAUCCAUUUACAUAAGAAUCUUUUGAGAACCUUGCUAAAAUGCAGAUCUCUAGACCUAUCUGAGACUUGCUGGAGAGUAAGUCAUGUGAUUUCUAUGCCCAUGAUAGUUUAAAAACCACCAAUUUUGUGAUGCCAAUUGUAAAAAAUGUUUCGAACCCCAGUUAAUUAGUGCAUUAUUUCAAAGAUAAUCCAAUUUUGUCUAAUAGAGUAUCAUAAUGUACUGUUACUGAUGCUGGUACUAUAGUUACAUUACUUACAUUAUGAUAUAAUGUAACAUUUCAUUUCUGAUAUAACUCAUUGGAAGGUAAGUCAUAGAAUAAAGUUCUACUUUCAACUUGGUGCCUAAGCCAGUUCUACUGCUCACCAGCUAUGAGUUUUGGGGAAAGACCUUUAACCUCUUAUUAAGUUCUAGUUUUCUAUUUAUCUCACAGUUCCUUCCUCAUAGGAUUGUUAAAAGGAUUGAAUGAAGUAACACAUCAGAUAAGCCUUAGGCUGUAAAAGUUUUGUGUUAUUAUCAAAAGAAUGAAUACUUCAUGAAAAUUAUGUUAACUCAGAAAGAUUCUUUGGUGGAGAUUCGAUUAGCAUCUUUGCAAUUUUUUUUUUUAACUUGUGAGGAAAGGCAAUCUGGAUGGUUUUCUUUUCCUACUACUUUUGGACUGAAGGAUGUAUUUAUCCAAGUGCUGGGAAUGCGGGCAGCAGAGAACCCUUAGCCAUCUGCCUCUAUAGGGAGUGCCUUGGCCAAGAUGACUUUCUUUUUCCAGAAAGGCCCACUUUCAAUGAUGGAUCAUUGUGGGAGUACAUAGGCCCAGGCCCCUUAGCAGACUUAGGACAACACUGAAGGGCCACACCAUCUCCAGAACUUCCUGUUGAUUCUGAGGUCUUGAUUGAGAUAGUCUCACAGGUUCCCUUAUCCCUCUCCCCAGUUCUGCUGCCUUUUAUUCCCUCCUCCAGAGAGUGCUCUCAGGAACCAUUUAUAACAUACUUCUGCGUGAAUGUCUCUGCUCUCCAGGGAGCCUGACCUGAGAUAGGUAGGCUUAUGAAAACAGCAGUUCCAAAGUGCUAUACACAUUUAAGGUACCUAAUCAUUAUAACACCACAUUAAUAAUCGAAUAGUCCUUAGCAUGUACUUAUAUUAAUCCCCUAAUGCUUUUAGUUAUGACACUAUAACAGGAAGCAUAUAAAAAAAAAAAUCCAGCUGUGGCACAGCAGAAACAAAACUAACUAGUAAUAAUGAGAUUGCAGGUUCAAUCCCUGGCCUCACUCAGUGGGUGAAGGAUCUGGUGUUGCCAUGAGCUGUGGUGUAGGUUGCAGAGGUGGCUCAGAUCCUGUGUGGAUGGGGUAUAGGCUGGCAGCUGUAGCUCCAAUUCUAUCCCUAGCCCUAACCCUCCAUAUGCUGCGGGUGUGGCCCUAAAAAGCAAAACAAUAAAUAAAUAAAUAAAUUUUUAAAAUAAAAUGGGUACUAUCUACCUCUCAAGCUAUCGUGAGUUCUAAUGUAUUGAUGAAUAUACAUGUUACUUAUCCAGCUUUGAAGAAAUGAACUGAGCUAUAAAAAGGGCCACCGCUUUGACUGUAAAGUUAUUCCUUGUUGAAAAUGCCAAAUUCAAGGGUGAAGAGGACUGAAAGCCACCCUGAGGGCUCUAACAGAGGGAUGUCUAUGAAGGGGAAGGGACUCAUUUUAUAACUAGUCUAUCCAAAGGAAUAUAUUUUUGCAAGGUACAUCUUCAUCCAUGACCUCAAAUUCAGUAGAAAGAGCAGCCAAAUGAGUCAUAUUUUUAAAUAUCUGGGGGCCUAGAUUCACCAAGCAAUCACAUGUAAUCAUAUACUCUAUGGGAUAAGUAAUCAUAUACUCUAUAGGACAGAAAUAUCAAUUUAUUUUAUAAAUGAAGAACUGAAAGGCUCAUGGAUUUGCCCAAAUUCUCAUAGCUUCUUAGUAGCAGAGAUGGGACUAAAACCUACAUUUUUUGGUUUUCAAUUUCAGUGUUUUAAAAUUGCAUAUUGAUACAGAUAUAGUUAUGACUAUGCGUAUUUCUAAAUCUGAGAAGAUUAUAUUUCAAUAUGUAAGAGACGUUUGUUUAAUAAAUAUUUACAAAUUCCUUCCUAUGGACAAAGCCCUGGAAGAUGAUGAGAGUAGAGAAAAAAGGCACAAUUUCUGUUGUUCAGGAACUCCUGAACUGAAGGAAGAGGGAGAUAAGGAAACCACACUUACACCUUGUCUGGUAAGAACUGCGAUAAAGUGUGUAAGGACAAUCAAAGAAAAUGCUUAUCAGCUUGAGUUCAUCCAGGAAAUAGUGAUAUGCUUCUGGUUUGAAGAAUGAAAUGGUGAAAGCUACAUGGACAAAGACUUGAAUUAGCAAAACUGCAAAUAAUUCGGCAUAAGUAAGGAGUGCAUAGAUAUGGUUAAAAUGGCGGGAGGCCAGGCUGAAGAUUUGAUCAGGUACUAAAGCUCUAAAAACAAUGUAGUUUGUACUUUAUCUUGAAGACAGCACCUGCCAAUGAAGGAAUAUUAGCAAGAUGGUAUUUGAGUUUUAGAAAGAUCGCUAUGAACAAUGGACCUGGAUCAGAGACACUGAAGUUCAAAAGACCAAGUAAGAAAAUUGAAGCAAAAAUCUAGAUGACCUGUUCAUUUAUAUUGACACUGAUUUCUCCUUCCCAUGAGGAUGAAUUAAUUUUAAUUUUGAAGCAAUGGCGUAGAGAAAAUUUUACUUUGAAAAGAAGAAAUGACUAUGACAAAUGUUUAGUUUCAGUAGCCUUCAAGACCACACCUAUGGAACAUGAGAUCACAGAAGUCUUAGAAAUGAAGACAAAUGCAUAAUUUUUUCUCUGAAAUGUUACAUACACACACACACACACACACACACACACACACACGCCAUGCAAUGGCAUUUCCUUACCUGUGAGGUAUAGAAUAUAAACACAGUAGAGAUCUGUCUUCUCCCUUUCUGUGCAGCUCUCCAUCAACUAUCAGAGGUGUAUCAUGCUCAGGAUCCACUUUUCUCAUACUGUAUUUCACCUGAACAUUCGUGGUGUGAGCAUCUCUAUGACACAAGAACAAAAUAGGAAAAGAUUCAGUAGCAUUUAUCAAGCACUUCAAGCUUUCCACUACUAGGCAAUUUAAUACAUUUUAUUUCAGUGAAUCCUUUCAAAAGUUCAUAUAACAUAAUGAAAAAACUGGGACUCAGCAUGAUACCAUUUGCCCAAGAAAAGAGACCCAUUCCACGCAAAACUGAACCGGUCCCAACAUGCAGGUCCACAGGAUGUCUUAAGACUUAUACCUGAGUAGAUAUCAUCCCUGGAGUUACAUAAUUUCCUGUCAAGUGAACAUAGACUGUCCAAUCAGAAGAACCUGUAAUGUGCCUCAAUAUGAUCAGCAAGAGCAAUUUGCCUUCUUUCGAGAUCAGCAUAAGGAUGUGAAGCGUACAGGUUCUGAAGUUAGACAUACCCGGGAUCAGAUCUCAGGUUUGAAACUUGCUUCCUGGGUGACCUUAGGCAAAUUACAUAAUCUUUCUAAGCCUCAACUUUCUCAUCUAUAAACUGGCAUGAUCAUAGUGAGCUCCUUACGAGGGACUAUUUGGAGGAGUUAAUGUGUGAGGGACCUAAAACACUAAGGAAACUAUCUGAUACAUGGUAACUGCUUAUGUACGUGACCUAAUACGUGUUACCUUUUUAAUGACUUUCCAUUUUACUGAUUCUGCCAUAAAAGAAUCAGCUCAUUUGGGGUGUGAAUUUACAUCAUUAAUGGGAUUUUCCACAGUUAGCUGAAAUUUUUAUGUCUGUGAGAAAAAUCACUUGGAAGUAACAAACUUUGUCUCCAAUGUCUUUUCUCUCCUUUCCAAUCGCUCCUGUUUCUGUAGGGAGGAACUGAUGGGCUUUUUGCUGCUCAAUUUAUUUGGACGCCAUAAUCCUUUUUUAUUGCUUUGCUUUGCUCAAUAAACCUGAGGGAUUUUGUUCACAUUUCCACUACAGAGUGUGUGGUGCUCCGACGAUGGAAAAUAAGACCUGAGUUAGAAUGUAACAGGGCCAUAGCUGUAGAGACACCCUUUAAUCUUCCUAGGCCUCAGUUUCCUCUUAGGUUAAAAUGAGUUCUAGCCUACAUAUCUCACCACUAUUAUGAGGACCAAAAGAUAGAGUAGCAGUCGUGGAGUACCUUAUAAAGCUUAAAGUUCUGUAAAAAUGAAAUCUACUUUAAUUAUUUUAUUGCUGUUAUAUAAUAAGGAAGAAACUAUAGAUAAAAUGAUCACCCAACUGUUCUAAUAGUUUGCUCCUGUGGAAUGGAAUUACUUAAAGAGCAUGUUUAGUUUGAAAGUAACAUUCCUUUAGAAAGAGCAAGAGAAUGGUUUAUUUAAAAUCUGUGGCUGUUUUGUUAAACUUCAUUGGAAAGAGAAAGAAGCAGAGGGUUGGCAGUGAUGAAUAUUGGGGACAUUAAUGAGGAAAAAUCCACACCCACCUGCUUUGGUUAAGCUUGUACAUAUUUAAUUAUAGAAUCUGAAGAAGGAGCAUCAGUAUUGAGGUGAGGAUGUGUUUUAAGAGACCAA
rnacentral:lncRNA from 1 species